CACAUGGUCACACAGAGAAAGAAGACCAUGCUGAUCAGAUGGCCAUCUGGCAGGACCUACAGCAAGCAACUGAUGUGAACUUCACCGCCUUGGACAAUCACCCUUCAGUAGGAGGAGAUGGAGGCAACCACCACUUUGAGUCCUGGUUCAGUCAUCUCAUCCUGGUGUGUGUGUGUGCUCUACUCAUCGUCUGCAUGUUCAGCCUUCUCCUACUCUUCAAAAAGCACUGCAACAAAUCCAACACUGGCCCCAUCUCACUGAGCAUCAGAGGGAGACCCACGAGCAGUGACAGUCAGGCAGCCGAUUACGAGACAAUGAACUCAGUCGAUGUCACCGCCACCCCCUCGACGGUUGCCGUGGAAACCAAGGCCCCCGCUGAAGCCUCCAUCCCGAUCUACGCUGAGGUCCAGCGCCGAAGCCACAUCUACCAGAACCUCCGUGCCGAAACACGCCUGGAAGCCAUCUACCACAGCCUGGAUAUCCCAACCAAUUAGCAUUUGCCUUGCUGUAAUGUCAAGAUCACAGUAACCAAUCAGAAUUUACGUCUUUUAAGUCAAGAAGCCAUCUACCACAGCCUGGAUAUCCCAACCAAUUAGCAUUUGCCUCGCUGUAAUGUCAAGAUCACAGUAACCAAUCAGAAUUGACGUCUUUUAAGUCAAGAAGCCAUCUACCACAGCCUGGAUAUCCCAACCAAUUAGCAUUUGCCUCGCUGUAAUGUCAAGAUCACAGUAACCAAUCAGAAUUUACGUCUUUUAAGUCAAGAAGCCAUCGACGACAGCCUGGAUAUCCCAACCAAUUAGCAUUUGCCUCGCUGUAAUGUCAAGAUCACAGUAACCAAUCAGAAUUUACGUCUUUUAAGUCAAGAAGCCAUAUACCACAGCCUGGCAGUGUUGUGCAAGUUCACACCUCUCAUGAACUAGUUCAAAGUUCAGUUCAUACAAGUAAACAUGAAUAGUUCACGUUCAUAGUUCACCAUUUCAAUUCUGAACUAGUUCAUAGUUCAGUUAAUUUCAUAGUUUUAAGGUGGAAAUUGAGAAUGAAAGACUUAACUUAUUUUUUUAAGAAAACUUUAUCCAUCACUAACCCUUGCCUUAAACUGUACUUCAUAUGUAUCAAUUCCUAAAAAAAAUGAUUAUUUUUAUUUUUUUUUAUUGUUGCUAAUUGUGCCUGUUUAUGUAUUCACACCCUGCAAACAAAAGGCACAACAAAUUAUAAUGCUAUGCCUUGCUAUGAAUAUGAACCAAUGCUAUGAACCAAUAAUUAGGCUAGACCUUAAAUUCUAUCAUUUAAAUGUAUAAAAUAAAUGUGUGGACAGAGGACA
rnacentral:lncRNA from 1 species